GAGAGUGAAGCGCUGGAUGUGAGGUAUGUUUUCUGGCUAAUUCUGGUCUCUGCCAUUUGCCUUGCCUUGCCUUGCCUUGCCUUGGGAAGCUUGUUUCUUGUCCUCUCUUCCACCACUCUUCUAUUUCAACACCCUUGUUUGGCCAAUUCAAUGUGAUCAGUGUCUUGAAGGGACCCUCUCUCUCUCUCACACACACACACACAGAAGAGAAGAUCGCAGUCAUCAUCAGUUGGGAUUAUAAGAAAGAGAUGGAAAAAACAAUGUGCUGUUUCCUAAUAUGUGGUACCCUGCAGAUCAUCAUAAUGACCAGUAUUUUGGUGACAACAAUCAGGCCUUUGGAAUCAUAUCAUGCUGCUCUUCUUCAACGCGGCCAAAGUCCACACUUCCCUCAACCUGCCUAUGGCUCAAAACAGGGGCUGGAAAGUGGUACUGAAGAAGAAGUUAAUGGAGAAGAAGAGAAAUACAUGAGGUUGCUGAGUAGGCUGGGGUCAAGACCGCCAAGCUGUCUG